rnacentral:misc_RNA from 1 species
CAACAUUGAGAAAGGAGGUGAUCCAGUGUCUAGAGAAGCAUUGGAGAGAGGUGUCGGAACAGUUCGGAGGGCCCGGCUCUAGGGCAGCCCCUACAGGCGGAUGACCGUCCGGAUUGGUGAAUGCCUAACCGGUAUCGCCUCCACAUUCUCGAAGGGUCGCCCUCAGGGGCGGCCCU